GACGAACGCUGGCGGCGUGCCUAAUACAUGCAAGUCGAGCGGACUUGACAGAGCUUGCUCUGUUCAAGUUAGCGGCGGACGGGUGAGUAACACGUGGGCAACCUGCCCUGCAGAUUGGGAUAACUCCGGGAAACCGGGGCUAAUACCGAAUAACAUGGAAAACCUCAUGGUUUUCUUUUAAAAGGCGGCUUCGGCUGUCACUGCAGGAUGGGCCCGCGGCGCAUUAGCUAGUUGGUGAGGUAACGGCUCACCAAGGCGACGAUGCGUAACCGACCUGAGAGGGUGAUCGGCCACACUGGGACUGAGACACGGCCCAGACUCCUACGGGAGGCAGCAGUAGGGAAUCUUCCGCAAUGGACGAAAGUCUGACGGAGCAACGCCGCGUGAGUGAAGAAGGUUUUCGGAUCGUAAAACUCUGUUGUUAGGGAAGAACAAGUAUCGGAGUAACUGCCGGUACCUUGACGGUACCUGACCAGAAAGCCACGGCUAACUACGUGCCAGCAGCCGCAGUAACAC
rnacentral:rRNA from 1 species